rnacentral:rRNA from 1 species
UCUUCAUACCACAGUGAAAACACCUGAUCUCAUCUGAUUUCAGAAGCUAAGCAGGGUUGGGCCUGGUUAGUACUUGGAUGGAAGACAGAUCUUCAAAACAGACUGCUCAGAGAC